GAAGAAUUAUACAUAGAAUCCUGUCCCACCUUCCUCUCCUUCCUGAAUAUGCUGUCUGGAAAAUACAGAAGUCUUCGGCUAUCCCUCAAUAUGAGGAUGAUGUCUGCCGGGGAGUGGGAUUAUUGACCUAAAUGAUCAGAAGCCCACCUGCACAUGAGAUCAUAUUUCCCAACACAUGGCAGAUGAUACUAGUUCAUGUGAUCAAUCUGGAAUUGGAAUUGGAAUUUGAGACAAGGAAGCAGGAGAUCUUGAUUCUAUUCCUAGCCAAUUUCUCCAUCAGUAAAAUAGAAACAAUAUUACCCACCCACUUACAUACAUGGGUGUUGUGAGUCAUAAUAUAUUACUGCUUGUUGAUGCUUUGAGUUUAUCUAAUGGAAGCCACCAUAACAGUUCAAAGAAUUGGCACUGAGCAAAAUAGUGGUGCUCAGCACUUCUAUAGCCAGGAGUCCCCUCAAGUUUUAUUAAACUUUUGCCUAAGUAAGAAACAAGAGUUGACUUUUUUAUUCAAAGUAGACCAUGCAAAAUGCUAUUUGCAAAGUGUUUAAAAUCAAAAUGUACACUCUUACAGCUUUACAGGUCUCCUAGGAAAAUGGAGGGGUCCCUGCAAAGGGAUUUUUCAUUAACAAGGACUAAGUACAGAUAGUCACAAAGUCUGAGGCAGAAUCAAUCCAAUCUGUGCAGGUGUCUCUAAGCUGCAUCAAUUGGAUCAGGAGCCAACGGAACAUGUAUUUGCCCUUCGUUGGGGGUGGGUGAACAUAUAUUUGCCCUUGCACUAGCCAAGGACAGAAAGUGGGCAGUGUUCCCGCAUGCUUCCCCACAUACCAUAGAUUGCUGAGGGCAGCCAAGCACAGCCAUGCAAAGGCCAUCCCUGAUUGGCUACCAACACAUGCCCCAAUCCUCCACUGUCAGCCAAGGAGACAGGGAGAGCCAACACAGAAUCUCUCCCCAGCCCCACCUGACAGGCACAGGCAGGAUGCAGGGCUGGGGAGCAGAGGUUUUGCUUUCAGCUCCGUGACAGCCUUGAGGCAGGACAGGAAGGGGA